CGGCAGGCUUGACACAUGCAAGUCGAGCGGUAGCAGAUCUAGCUUGCUAGAUGCUGACGAGCGGCGGACGGGUGAGUAACGCGUAGGAACCUGCCCAGUAGUGGGGGAUAGCCCGGGGAAACUCGGAUUAAUACCGCAUACGCUCUACGGAGGAAAGAGGGGGCUUCGGCUCUCGCUAUUGGAUGGGCCUGCGUGAGAUUAGCUAGUUGGUGAGGUAAUGGCUCACCAAGGCGACGAUCUCUAGCUGGUCUGAGAGGAUGAUCAGCCACACUGGGACUGAGACACGGCCCAGACUCCUACGGGAGGCAGCAGUGGGGAAUAUUGCACAAUGGGCGCAAGCCUGAUGCAGCCAUGCCGCGUGUGUGAAGAAGGCUUUCGGGUUGUAAAGCACUUUCAGUGGGGAGGAAGGCCUCGUAGUUAAUAGCUGCGAGGAUUGACGUUACCCACAGAAGAAGCACCGGCUAACUCCGUG
rnacentral:rRNA from 1 species